CAAAAUGCUAUGCAGACAUAAUGGAAAUGGCAUUUACAUUGUAGAGCUUGGACGAAGUUCACACAGGCUCUGCGCAGGAAUUCAUCAAGGACAUAACUGCUGGGAUUACGCUUCUGGAUGACCAAUCUGAGCACCAUCAGUCUGCAGUGAUGUGAUCCAGCCAUCCAGUGACAUUAAGGAUGUUGAGAAAGAAAUUGAAGAGGGCAUUCUGAUUGUAACUGAGGAACAGCAAUGUGAUGUGCUUCCCAAGGAAUAACCAACAUUGGUCUCAUUUGGACAUCCUGUCAUCACUGACAUCUCCCAUGUCCCCAAGGCAUUUGGACUCCUAAUGGGUCUGUAUGCAGAGAACAUCCACUACCUCGAGCGCAUUAAAUACACCAUUGAGGCUCUGUAAAAACUUGUGAAGAUCAGCUGCUCCCACCAUGUGCUCGCUACAGCGGCAGGAACUGUAGGUGUGGGGGAGUGAAUGUCCAGCGCUCUUU